UGUUCUCUUCCAGGACAUCUUGGGGCCCUUGGAGCACUUCAGGGAUCGCCCCCUGACCCUGGCCCUUGCCUUGGAGGCCCUCCUCCAGCUAAGUACCAUGAGGCCCAAAUUCAGCUGUGACAUGAUCAGUGCGAUCCUCCAUAGGACCAUGGAGGCAGUUCUUCAGGGCCCAGAAAAGGAGGAGGAAAGAGAGGAGCUGAAGCGCCACUUCCGUCUCCUCCUUGGAAGUCUCCUUAUGGAAGCCCCCAAUCCUGGCACCCUCCUGCAACUUUUAAGCAUAAGUGUCCCGAUGGCAUCAGGGGU